UUCGAGCCCGUGACAUCGUACCUUUUGUAUAAUGGGUCAGCGAGUUCGUCUGUCUAGCAAGCUUAAGCCACAAGGCGAAGGCGCAGCGAAAGCGAGUCUGAAUAGGGCGACUGAGUUAGACGGAUGAGACCCGAAAGCAAGUGAUCUAGCCAUGACCAGGUUGAAGGUGCAGUAACAUGCACUGGAGGACCGAACCCACGCCUGUUGAAAAAGUCGGGGAUGAGUUGUGGCUAGGGGUGAAAGGCCAAUCAAACUUGCAGAUAGCUGGUUCUCUGCGAAAGCUAUUUAGGUAGCGCCUCGUGUAUCACCUUUGGGGGUAGAGCACUGGAUGGGCUAGGGGGCUUCACCGCUUACCAAACCUAACCAAACUCCGAAUACCAAAGAGUGCUGAGCACGGGAGACACACGGCGGGUGCUAACGUCCGUCGUGAAGAGGGAUAAAAACCCUGACCUACAGCUAAGGCCCCCAAUUUAUGGCUAAGUUGUUAAGGAUGUGAGGUUCCCAAAACAAUCAGGAUGUUGGCUUAGAAGCAGCCAUCAUUUAAAGAAAGCGUAACAGCUCACUGAUCUAAAUAAGGAACUUUGCGCCGAAAAUGUAACGGGGAUUAAGCCAUAAGCCGAAGCUUAGGAUUCACCGCAAGGUGAAUGGUAGCAGAGUGUUCUGUAUGCCUGCGAAGGGUGAGCGUGAGCGAGCCUGGAGGUAUCAGAAGUAAGAAUGCUGACAUGAGUAGCGAUAAAGAGGGUGAGAGACCCUCUCGCCGUAAGUCCAAGGGUUCCUGCGUCAAGUUAAUCUGCGCAGGGUUAGCCGGCCCCUAAGGCAAGGCCGAAAGGCGUAGUCGAUGGGAAUGCGGUAAAUAUUCCGCAGCCUGCUGGAAGUGACGGAUCAAGUAACUUGUUCGACCUUACUGGAUUGGUCGGGCCGGGAAUUGGUCCCAGGAAAUAGCUCCAGCUUAUAGCCCGUACCCUAAACCGACACAGGUGGACUGGCAGAGUAUGCUAAGGCGCUUGAGAGAACUGUAUUGAAGGAACUAGGCAGAUUGCCCUCGUAACUUCGGAAGAAGAGGGCCCGAUUCUUACGCAAGUAGGAGUCGGGGGCACAUAGCAGGGGGUGGCGACUGUUUACUAAAAACACAGGACGCUGCGAAAUCCAAAGAUGACGUAUAGCGUCUGACGCCUGCCCGGUGCUGGAAGGUUAAGAGGAGAUGUGAAAGCGUUGAAUCGAAGCCCCAGUAAACGGCGGCCGUAACGAUAACGGUCCUAAGGUAGCGAAAUUCCUUGUCGGGUAAGUUCCGACCUGCACGAAAGGCGUAACGACUUCCCCACUGUCUCCAAUACAGGCUCAGCGAAAUUGAAUUCCCCGUGAAGAUGCGGGGUUCCCGCGGUCAGACGGAAAGACCCCGUGCACCUUUACUGCAACUUUACACUGGCAUUAGGAAUGGGAUGUGUAGAAUAGGUGGUAGGCAUUGAAGCCGAGGCGCUAGCCUUGGUGGAGCCGAAAUGUGAAAUACCACCCUUCUUG
rnacentral:rRNA from 1 species